GUGAGGAAUAUUGGUCAAUGGGCGAGAGCCUGAACCAGCCAAGUCGCGUGAAGGAAGAAGGAUCUAUGGUUCGUAAACUUCUUUUGCAGGGGAAUAAAGUGCGGGACGUGUCCUGUUUUGUAUGUACCCUGAGAAUAAGGAUCGGCUAACUCCGUGCGAGCAGCCGCGGUAAUACGGAGGAUCCGAGCGUUAUCCGGAUGUAUUGGGUUUAAAGGGUGCGUAGGUGGUUUGAUAAGUCAGCGGUGAAAGUUUUCAGCUUAACUGUAAAAAUGCCGUUGAAACUGUCGGACUUGAGUGUAAAUGAGGUAGGCGGAAUGCGUGGUGUAGCGGUGAAAUGCAUAGAUAUCACGCAGAACUCCGAUUGCGAAGGCAGCUUACUAAGCUACAACUGACACUGAAGCACGAAAGCGUGGGGAUCAAACAGGAUUAGAUACCCGAGUAGUCC
rnacentral:rRNA from 1 species